AUGAAGGGCGGCGGCGACGUCGAGGCGGGCGGCGACAUCGAGGCGGGCACCGCGGCACCGAAGGGGGCGCCGUACGCCGGGACGACGGAGAGCCCCGAGCUGCGCUGGGCGCUCAUCCGGAAGAUCUACGUCGUCCUCUGCCUGCAGCUUCUCCUCACCGCCGCCGUCGCGGCCGUCUUCGUCACAGUCACGGCCAUCCCGCACUUUUUCGUCUCCUCCUACGCCGGACUGGGGCUGUACAUCUUCAUUCUCGUCUUCCCCUUCAUCGUGCUGUGCCCGCUGCACAUCUACCGCCAGAAGCACCCAAUCAACUUGCUGCUUCUUGGCGUCUUCACAGUGGCCAUCAGCUUCUCUGUGGGCUUGACAUGCGCCUUUACCAGCGGCAAGGUCAUUUUGCAGGCGGGGAUUCUUACAAUUGUGGUUGUCUUGAGCCUCACUGCUUACACCUUCUGGGCUGCAAGGAGGGGCAAGGACUUCAGCUUCCUUGGUCCUUUCCUAUUUGCUUCUCUGAUGAUUUUGCUCGUCUUUGCUUUCAUUCAGAUCUUCUUCCCGCUGGGCAAGCUCUCUCACAUGAUCUAUGGCGCGCUGGCGGCACUCAUCUUCAGUGGCUACAUUGUCUAUGACACGGGCAGCAUCAUCAAGCGUUACAAGUAUGACGAGUAUGUCUGGGCUGCCGUCACGCUCUACCUUGACAUCAUCAAUCUGUUCCUGGGCCUGCUGACUCUGUUUAGGGCGUGUGACAACUAG
rnacentral:rRNA from 1 species